CUCCCAGGCGGGGACUCGAACCCCGGUCACCCGCAUGACAGGCAGGAAUACUAGCCACUCUACUACAGAGGA